rnacentral:lncRNA from 1 species
ACACACAUGGAUAUGAAACAGGAAGUCGGUAUCCAAUUAACUCUUUGAAGUUUACCUGUAAACGUCAUAACCAGCAUAGCUCUAUCCUUGGCGCUUUUCUCUCUGUCUGUUUUCAAGAAUUUUCUUGACUCACUUAUUUUUGUGAAAGAAGGCCUCAUGUUUACAUGACAAAAUUAGAAGACCUCCAUUUUUAUUUGUAACCACCUUUUCUAGACUCUCGAACGGAGUUAGCUAGUAAGUCUUGGAAUCAUAAUAGUGUAUUGUUUGUUACAUGGACUGAAACUAUUCUCGUGUCAAUGUAAUGAGAAAUGACUGAGAUAAUAGCCAAAAACUAGUUUUUUUAAUAUUAAUUUUGUAACCACCUUUUUGAGACUUCUGCACCAGGUAUGAACAAGUUACUACUUUGAGUGUAUUCAUUAAGGCCUCUUAUAUAGACUGUUUAUGGUUUCAUUUUUCUAGA